UACAGAGGUCUCAAGCGUUGGUCGGAUUCAUUGGGCGUAAAGGGUGCGUAGGUGGUCAGGUAAGUCGGAUGUGAAAUCUCCGAGCUCAACUCGGAAACUGCAUUGGAAACUACCUGGCUCGAGGGUUGGAGGGGGGACUGGAAUGCUUGGUGUAGCAGUGAAAUGCGUAGAUAUCAAGCGGAACACCAGUGGCGAAGGCGAGUCCCUGGACAACUCCUGACACUGAUGCACGAAAGCUAGGGGAGCAAACAGG
rnacentral:rRNA from 1 species